UGCGUGGCCAGGCAGAGUUUAGUGUUGGGGAUGUGAUGGCUGUGUCGUCCCUCUACACCAACACAACCUUCACAAAACUACCCCAAAAAAUACCCAUUGAUGACUCAGACGCUGUGUUUAAUGUACAGUAGCUGUUUCUUCCCGUCUACUCACAAAACCGGCCAAACAAAAGACUGAUCUAUGACUGUGAUGUGGUGCUUGAUGCCUGACGUGGGUGUCAAGGCAUCUUGUGUAUAUUAAAAACUUCACCAAAAAAAACACUCAAAAAAGAGCGAUUUAUGACUGUGACGUGGUGUUUGAUGCCUGCAGAGAGGCUCUCAAGACAGCGGGUGCAGAAGACUGGAUGGAUCCCAGUAUAGGGUGGUACCAGCCAGAACAACAGGGUCCGGCCAGAGACCUGUGGGCCAGGAUCUGGCUCACCCAGCAGGGUCUUGACAACAUGAACCUCAAUGACAACCAGUUUAUUCCCCUCACCAUACAGGACACCAAUCAGGAACAGACUAACGCAACCAAAACGACCAACAACAGAAACAAUGCCAACAACAACACAAACAACAGUUAUUACAACAGGACCAAGAGGAAACGAGAGAACCGCGCCAGCACCUAUGGCCUCAACCACAACCACAAGAACCUCAUAGGGCAGUUUGGUGGUUGUCCGUGGCGACGAUCACCCAACAACUAUGACCUAGGGGUUGUCGGGCUACACCAAGAAAUGGAGGACUUCUACUCAUGGAUGUGUCCCAGCGAGGAAGAACACACUAUGAGAAAAAGAGUGGUGGAGCGCAUCGAGCAGGUUAUUGUUGAUUUGUGGCCGCAAGCUCGGGUGGAGAUCUUUGGCAGCUUCCGCACUGGCCUCUACCUCCCUACCAGUGACAUUGAUCUGGUGGUGAUAGGGAAGUGGGAUGCCUUGCCACUACGCACUUUAGAGAAAGCUCUUCUGGACAACAAGAUAGCUGAGCCUUCCUCUCUCAAAGUUCUAGACAGAGCUUCAGUGCCAAUUGUGAAAUUAACGGACAGCGAAACAGACGUGAAGGUGGACAUCUCAUUCAACAUGAGCAGCGGCGUGAACUCGGCGCGCCUCAUCAAAGAGUUCAAGAACCGCUUCCCUGCCUUGCCCAAGCUAGUCAUGGUGCUCAAACAGUUUCUCCUCCAGAGGGACUUGAAUGAGGUCUUCACCGGCGGCAUAUCUUCAUACUCCCUUAUCCUAAUGACUGUCAGCUUUCUACAGUUGCAUCAGCGGUUAGAUGCAUCACAGCCCAACGCUAACCUUGGGGUCUUGUUGAUAGAGUUCUUUGAGCUGUAUGGCAGACAUUUCAAUUACCUGAAGACUGGCAUCAGAAUCAAGGAUGGCGGAGCUUACAUCUCAAAGGAUGAGGUUCAGAGAGACAUGCCGGAGGGUCACAGACCGUCCGUCUUGUGUAUAGAAGAUCCCCUCAUACCCGGCAAUGAUAUCGGACGAUCCUCAUACGGAGUGUUGCAAGUGAAGCAAGCUUUCGAAUAUGCUUAUAUUGUUUUAUCUCAGGCUGUGAACCCCUUAAACAACAUCAUAAACGAUCCAAAUCAUUACUCCAUACUCGGCCGCAUCCUGAGGAUAACGGACGACGUCGUCUUGUAUCGACAAUGGAUACGGAAGUCUUUUCCCAUCAGUGGGUCGAUGGCCUCCAGCAACUCCCAUCACCUGACCCCCACACACCCGGCCACGCCGCCCACUCCGCCUGUUGCGUUCCAUACUCCAAAUCAUCUUCAGGUCACUUCUGAUAACCAGUACAACACCAACAAGAACAAUAAUAACAAUAAUAAUAAUAAUAAUAACAAUAAUAAUGCACGUAAUAAGUCCAGCGUCGCCGACGAUGAUACGUUGUCAUCCGAAGCAUCCGAACCGCAUUCCACACCUCCCUCCUCUGUCUCGUCUGUUAGUGAUGACACGGAUUCUGACCAGGCGGUGGACAUGAGUGAGGGGAGUAGAGACAGCUCCCCAAACAUCCAUCACCACCAUCAACUUCACCACCUCAGUGCCACAACAGCUACAAAAUCCACCUUAAAUAAUAUCACCAGUGUCAGCCCUGGCGGCGUGGGAAAGCACUCGUCCUUACCCGGGGGCAGCGUGUCACAACGUGUACCAAGCACCGGGACGGAGGUUCGCACGACUUCCCACCCGGCGGACGGAACAUCGACGAAUAAACAGUCACAUGGCCAGCCACGUAAUGAAUACCCUGCUGUGCCAGCGUGGCAUCCGCACCAACAGCAGGGCGGCAGUUCCCCCGUACAACACGGCAGCAGCCCGGCAAAGCCCUGGCCCAAACACAGGAGAUACUCACAGUCAUCACAAGGGUCAGCAGCUGGUGUUGGGGACAUCCGCAGUGGCAAGGGCAACACUGGCAGCAAGUAUGUAGGGGAAAGCGUCACUAGCGGGAACACCAAUGUCACUCACGUUGGUGGCACCGGAUCCAUCAGCGGCGGCAGCAACCAGGCGAGAUAUCACCGCGUCUCAUAUAAUAAGCGAAAGAAGUCUGCCCGGCGGGACUCCGACGGCAGAAGUGAAACCCGAGACUCUCACCGGUGAUUGAAGGAGGACGUCAAGGUUCCUCCUGCAAGUGGUGAAUGUUUCCCUGGCGACUCUGAUGACCGGACAGAGUUGUAGAAUCCCCGCCUGUGAUUGAAGGUGGACGACGGUCAGGUGACUGUGAUGUUGGCCGUGCCCUGAGAGGCACAGGUCGAACCCUCUUCCGUGUUUCUGUGAAUACCAGCGUGCAGCUCGCUGUUUUGCCGAUGAGUGGAAGAAAAUAAGACGGACAAUUGUGCUACGGCAGCCCCUCCAUUCCCAGAAUCGUUGCGUCAGAAGUACAUUGUGUGCGGACACUUUAUAUCUCACGUUAAGACGAGACUUUGUGUGAGGACGGGUGUCUUCUUCCACGAACCAUAAAGAUUUUAGUAGACCAAUAUCCUUAGAGCUCACUUUUAAGAGUUUUAUUUAUAUUCUUUAAGCUCAACUUGGCUCUUUUGAUGACCCAUUCAAAGGUCAUCCUAAGUCAUUUCAGAUAAAUGUUUUAUAUGAGUUUAAAUUUUGAGAUUGUUCUGUUCAAUCUCAGUGAGUCAUAUUAAGCUCUUGGAGGCAGACGACACAUCAGGGGAAUCUUCUUGUUGGGUGGAUGAUAACUCUGGCCUAUGCAAAAUAAAAAUAAAAAAAAAUAUAUAAAAAAAGAGGACAAAAAAUCCAAACUAGUAGUGAGGGUGGGUAGGUCCCCAGUGGAUGCUUCCUAAAUAGAAUCUUUGUCAUUAGAAACGUGACGUGUGAUUGUGUGUGCGUUUGUGUAUAUGUGUGUGUGUGUGAGGAUGGGGUGGGUGAGUGUUAGGGUGGGAUGGGUUACUCACUUAUUUUUGUGAAUCCCUGUUGGACCAAAAUCUUGUUGCUUGAAAUAAAAUAGUUAUAUUAAUGGAUAUUGUUGUGCAUCUUGAUAAUAGUUUGUUGUUUUUUCCAACUCAUGACAAUUGACCGAGGCUGCUCACUGCCCACACAGUUAACCCGCACUACUUCUCUACUAAAACGACCAGUUGAGGUUUAUGGGAUAGUUGCCACGGCGAGGUGGCAUCAGAUGUCGGCUGCAGGAACGGGAUCGGUUUGUGAGUAAAUAUUUUCCUAGAUUGUGAUUUGCUGUGCCAAGAAACUACUUCUGCCUGAGACUGGUGGUGUACCGUACUGGGAAGUAAAUCCAAAAAUCAUCUAAGUCAUGAAUAGAAGUCCAUAUCAUUUAUGUUCUAAAUAAAUAAAUUAAUGUUCUAAUUCAGUAAUAGAAUAUUUUCCUAUGUGAAUGACAGUGUAGUUGUACCAUAGUUAUUUAUUGUAUUAAUUAUAAAUGCAUUUGACACCUACAUAGGUUGUACACAACUAUGUAUUGGCGUAAAUCGAUCGCUCUUCUAUCUUUAUUUGAACAAGGAGCAGCUAUACACAAGUCAGGUUGUAGCCUCGUGUGUAUUAUCUGACGUAAAUUAGGAUUGAGAUAACACCAUGUGAUAGGUUGAUACUUGUCCCAGUAGAGCCUAUUAAUGAAGACACUACUGUACUUGUGGUUGAUGCUCAGUGUAGCGCUGAGAAUCACAUCAUUGUUGGAAAUAUAUGACAUUGUGAUGUGGGUUUCAUCUUGGAUGCCAGUGUCGUCGGUAAAUUAAGGCUGCCACAGGGCGUGUAGUUCUGACGUAGUACGUUGUUAAGUACUUAAAAGUUUUUAUGCAGGUUCCACCUUGGCCGUGAAAGAGAAUUAACCAAGUUGUGUGUGCCUCUGUUAAGUGGUGAUUACAACUGUGUUUAGCAAAGUGGUAUGUGUCAUGAUGACGUACAGCUGUGGUUAGCAAAGUGGUAUGUGUCAUGAUGAUGUACAACUGUGGUUAGCAAAGUGGUAUGUGUCAUGAUGUACAGCUGUGGUUAGCCAAGUGGUAUGUGUCAUGAUGUACAGCUGUGGUUAGCAAAGUGGUAUGUGUCAUGAUGAUGUACAACUGUGGUUAGCAAAGUGGUAUGUGUCAUGAUGUACAGCUGUGGUUAGCAAAGUGGUAUGUGUCAUGAUAAUGUACCGCUGGUUAGCCAAGUGGUAUGUGUCAUGAUGUACAGUUGUGGUUAGGAAAGUGGUAUGUGUCAUGAUGAUGUACCACUGGUGUAGGAAAGUGGUAUGUGUCAUGAUGUACAGCUGUGGUUAGCAAAGUGGUAUGUGUCAUGAUGUACAGCUGUGGUUAGCAAAGUGGUAUGUGUCAUGAUAAUGUACCGCUGGUUAGCCAAGUGGUAUGUGUCAUGAUGUACAGUUGUGGUUAGGAAAGUGGUAUGUGUCAUGAUGAUGUACCACUGGUUAGGAAAGUGGUAUGUGUCAUGAUGUACAGCUGUGGUUAGCAAAGUGGUAUGUGUCAUGAUGAUGUACAGCUGUGGUUAGCAAAGUGGUAUGUGUCAUGAUGAUGUACAGCUGUGGUUAGCAAAGUGGUAUGUGUCAUGAUGUACAGCUGUGGUUAGCAAAGUGGUAUGUGUCAUGAUGAUGUACCGCUGGUUAGCAAAGAGGUAUGUUUCAUUAGUUAUUGAUAUGUAUUAUGGUUAACCAGAGGCCUCAGGAUAGUUAAUUCCAUCUUGAUCAUGUUAUACUUGCCAUGGUUUCAUGACAGCAGUCAUUGUGUUAUGACAGCUACCAUAGUUUUAUGCCAGCAGUCAUUGUGUUAUGACAGCUACCAUAGUUUUAUGACAGCAGUCAUUAUGUUAUGACAGCUACCAUAGUUUUAUGACAGCAGUCAUGUUAUGACAGCUACCAUAGUUUUAUGACAGCAGUCAUUAUGUUAUGACAGCUACCAUAGUUUUAUGACAGCUACUAUAGUUUUAUGACAGCUACCAUAGUUUUAUGACAGCUACUAUAGGUUUAUGACAGCUACUAUAGUUUUAUGACAGCAGUCAUUAUGUUAUGACAGCUACCAUAGUUUUAUGACAGCAGUCAUUAUGUUAUGACAGCUACCAUAGUUUUAUGACAGCAGUCAUGUUAUGACAGCUACCAUAGUUUUAUGACAGCAGUCAUUAUGUUAUGACAGCUACCAUAGUUUUAUGACAGCAGUCAUUAUGUUAUGACAGCUACCAUAGUUUUAUGACAGCAGCCAUUAUUUUGUGACAACAGCCAUUGUUUUACAAAAGUUGCUUUGUUUUUUUAUGAUAGCUACCAUGAUUUUUGUCACAACUACCAUGAUUUUAUGAUAGAAACCUUGGUUUUAUGACAGCUACCAUGCUUUUAUGACAGCUAUCAUGCUUUUAUGACAGCUACCUUGGUUUUAUGACAACUUCUAUGGUUUCUUGAGGGAUGGCAGGUAAUGCAUGCCUUACUUUACUGAUAGCUGAGUUACUGUCAGGCAAGUCUCUGGUUUUGGUGACCUCAUACAGGUAUUGGCCACCAGGCACAGUUGGGUGUACUGUACUGUACUGAUAAUGACAAGGUUUACUGUUAACUUGACCUGUUGAACUAAGCCCUCACCUAUUUUAGUGUUCUUAAUUACCACUACAAUUUGUAGUAGUUGUUUGGUUGUUAACACUUGAACCGCAAGCAUCAUCACUGAAAUUUAGCCGUAGGGACAGUUGCCAUGAUCAUUGAAUGUUCCUUGUUCUUUGCAUUCCAUUUUUAUGCAUGUGGGGCAGAGUAAGGAAUCCUUAUCUGGUAGUUAAGGAUUAAGAUAAUUGCAGUGUGACUCACAUAACAAGCAGUCAUUCACAGGGAUUUGCAAUAAUUUUUUAGGACACCAAAAGUUGAUGGUACCCAGACAAUAGAUCAGUUAAUACCUUAUUGGCUAAAGUUUGUGGACUACCCAAUCUCCUUCUCUUAUAAUUGAAAUCUUUGCAAAGCAAGUUGUCACAUGAUGGGUUGAACUUCUUGUAUAGUGAGCUGAGUUACAAAAAAAUAAGAUUUGUACAGUCAGGUAAACCAUUAUACAAACAUCUGUACAGUCAGGUAAACCAUUAUACAAACAUCUGUACAGUCAGGUAAACCAUUAUACAAACAUUUGUAUGGCCAAGGUAAACCAUUAUAUGAACAUCUGUACGGUCAAGUAAACCAUUAUACAAACAUCUGUACAGUCAGGUACACCAUUAUACAAACAUCUGUACGGUCAAGUAAGCCAUUAUACAAAUAUCUGUACGGUCAGUACACCAUUAUACAAACAUCUGUACAGUCAGGUAAACCAUCGCAUGAAAACAAGUUUAUGUAACUUGUUUUAACAGCUGAGUGAGUAAACCACAGUAGCCAGAUAGAGCAAGAGGAUUAAUGGUUUGAUAGUUUAAAGAUGACAUCAUAACAAGGUGGCUGGAUAGUUAAGAGAUGACAUCAUAAUGACAUGGUUAGAUAUAUAAGAGACGACAUAACAACAUGGUUAUAUAGUUAAAGAGAUGACACCAAAAUAACAUUGUUGGAUAAAUGAGACGACUUAAUGGCAUGGUUGGUUUUUGAGAUGACUUAAUGACAUAGUUGGAUAGUUAAAAUAAAGAGGUAUGCUGGGCCAAGUAUCGGACAAGUGUUGAGGUGAGCUGUCAUGUAAACAACUGAAGCUUGGAUAUAUUUAUUAGGUUCUUCAUGAAAUUUAAACAAAUACAAAAAUGGUAGGAUUUCUGAUUUUUGUACAAAUAUUUGCAGUGUGAAUAUUGCCUUGGAAAAUUUCUUAUUAAAAAUUAAGGCAAAAAUGAGAAUGUUGUAAAGAUCCUUAUUUUUAUCUUUGGAUUCCUGUGUCCAGAUUCUCAAAGAUUCUUAUAAUAAUUUUCUCCCUCUUAUAAUGGGAUGAAAGUGAGUUUUAUUAUGGUUGUCUCAGUACAAUGUUGAGGCCAUUUGGGCCAGUUUGUGUUUGUUUGUUGUAGGUAAAGUGAGCUGGCUAAUGGCUCCCUCACAUCACCCAUCAGGGGAGAAAGUUAACAUAACAAACCUUUGAGAAUCUUGGUUGUGGGCUGUAACAAUCUCCUUUUAUCAAAGUUGGUGGAUUUUAUGGAAGCUGAAGCUUAAUGGCUACAAAAACUUGGGGCUGUGUAAGAGAGGUGUUGUCGCCUGUUCAGACAAGAUGACAUUCCCUUUCUCACACGCUUCAAGAAAGUAAAAAAAAAAAAGAAUAAAAUAAAAUACUGCACUUGAGUUGCAGCUGGAGGGGCAUGAAAUUGACAAAUUUAUGUUUAUUACCAUUAGUUUUGGAUCACUUACAGCACCGUCACAUCUGUUGACACUUGGAGUGAAGCACUCUUCUCUCUUUAGGCCUCAACGUUGAAAUGCCUCCACAGUAUUCCAAAAAUUUCCACCUAAAAUCUCAACGAAUAUUAAUUGACCUCAGAAUCUGAUUUCUUGUGUCUUAAAAAUUGGAUAUAGUGCUUCCCUGACCUCAAAAUUCCUUCACCACAAAAAGUUAUAAUAAAAGAAAGAUGCCCAAAA
rnacentral:misc_RNA from 1 species